rnacentral:rRNA from 1 species
UGGGGAAUAUUGCACAAUGGGCGCAAGCCUGAUGCAGCCAUGCCGCGUGUGUGAAGAAGGCCUUCGGGUUGUAAAGCACUUUCAGCGAGGAGGAAGGUGGUGAGCUUAAUACGCUCAUCAAUUGACGUUACUCGCAGAAGAAGCACCGGCUAACUCCGUGCCAGCAGCCGCGGUAAUACGGAGGGUGCAAGCGUUAAUCGGAAUUACUGGGCGUAAAGCGCACGCAGGCGGUUUGUUAAGUCAGAUGUGAAAUCCCCGGGCUCAACCUGGGAACUGCAUUUGAAACUGGCAAGCUAGAGUCUCGUAGAGGGGGGUAGAAUUCCAGGUGUAGCGGUGAAAUGCGUAGAGAUCUGGAGGAAUACCGGUGGCGAAGGCGGCCCCCUGGACGAAGACUGACGCUCAGGUGCGAAAGCGUGGGGCAGCAAACAGGAUUAGAUACCCUGGUAGUCCACGCUGUAAACGAUGUCGAUUUUGGAGGUUGUGCCCUUGAGGCGUGGCUUCCGGAGCUAACGCGUUAAAUCGACCGCCUGGGGAGUACGGCCGCAAGGUUAAAACUUAAAGGAAUUGACGGGGUC